rnacentral:rRNA from 1 species
CGGAUCCGGUUGACACAGCGUCAGAGCGAGUGGUCGGUCUUAUGUGGGUUCAAAACGAGGUAGAGGAGGGCCGAGCCGCCCCAAGGCCGGCGGCAGCGAGGGAGAGAGAGCCGGCUGCUCUAGGGUUGUAGGGAGGAUGCCCGCGCGCCGCUGAGCCGCUCUCUUGCUGGUGCGUUCUCAGCCGAGUGAGCGCGGUUACUUCGUCGGGUAGAUAGGACCUGCCAAAUUCGGUAUGUUUUCGUUUUUAUCAUCGAUCACGCUACUUACCUCGAGUACUGAAGGUGCCAUUAGGUACUACUUCAAAGGUUUCUGGCGGUGUCGUAGGCCGAACCUAGGGUGAUCAAACCGCCUCGACCAGGCGAACCAACAAGCCCGGUACCUCCCUGACCGGCUGCUCUAGGCCAGCGAGCUGGUCUCGUUAGCAUUUACCCGCGGAUCCACCUGGUUGUAGCGGCGGUGGCUCGACCUCAACGAGUUCUGGUUAUACGAGAUCUAGACCAAGUAUAGACAGCAGCGGCUAGGUGCUGUACUCCGCGACCACGUCGUUCGUUCUCUACGGUGCAUGAGGUAGCUUCACUAAGUUCUGUUCUAACUCAUGGCAUCCGAAGUCAGGUCGGAACAAGGCGUAGUGUUCUAAGAGUUAGUAGACAAGUUCGACGAAGAACGAGACUCCACAGCUACCUUGACGAGGUUAAGUUUGUCCCAGUAGUCCCUCUAGUUUUACACUUACUCUUUCGAGCGUCCGAACAGGGAGAGGACCUGUUCCCACUUCCGGUCAAAAGGUUAGGUGGAGCCGGCGGCGAACCAAAGCAGCUACUAUGAGCAGCUUGUUGCCACAUACCCGCACUGUACCUCUCCCUACUCCAGCACGUCUACGAGUAGGCCGGAACGCCACCCCGAAGUGGUCUCUCCUACGAGAGAGAACAACCACUACCUCCUUAACCCUUCUGUUGCCAGUGAGUCUACCAUAAGUUACUACUUUCGCAGUCCGUUGUAAAACUACAGUCUACAACCCACAGUCAAAGGUCACAGAGGUUGGUUAACCUCGAGCGUCGUCUCUAAAAUUCUAGUCGGGUUGGUAGCACCCAACCUAGAUUACUCUUCUUCUACCACCUAAAAGUUCACGAAGUCAGGCUCGAAGCAGCUAAACACCGUAGGUUCUCUACGGACUAACAAGAUCUACCACAUACGUUGUCUUUCCUACUUUAGAACGACCUGUAGGAGUGAGGAGAAGAAAGUCGUCUGUUGUCUUCGUUUUAAAACCACUGAAGAGCGUACUAUGGAGUGUACAACCCACGGAGUGUCGACAUGUGACAUUUAGGAGACCUAUAGUUAGUGACAACCAGGGACGAGUUCCUUGUACGAAAAGGGUAACUACCAUUCUUACAGGUAGGUCUAGACAUCAACUAAUCCUCCUUUUAACGAUGUUUUUGAUUACCUAGUGGAAACCGACGGUUCGACCACCCUCCCAACGAUCCUGUUUGUUCCUCGUUUCGCGUGACCUCUUUAUAGUACCUUUGUCCCAAUGUUUUACCGUAACAAAAGAGACGGGAUGAGAACUCGAUAUUCUUGAACGGACCUGUGGAGUUCGCUACGAAGUGUAUAACGUCAAACAAAAGUCUCCUGAUAUUUAAACUAGGUCGUGUAAACAGAGCGGAAACCUAACGUAUCCCAAAACAUGUAGGUGUUCCGUUCCGACUCUUUUCCUACCUUCUGUAUCGAGCUCUUAUAAAACUAGUCGAGGAAAGUGCGAGUAAAAAGGUCUUUUAGUUCGAACCUGUGUUCUGAAUGAUGAACCACGUACCGGAUGAGGUACUUGAACGUUUUAGACGACACCUCCUCCUGACGAAGGCAUAACUACUACCGUACUCAACACUGUAGGGUAGUUGUCACGCGGUAGACAGACAGUGGUACUUGUCAAAUGGACCAGAGUGUUUGAAAAGGCCCGAUCUUUUCAACGCAUGGAACGAUUAGGUUGGUAGUGAAGGUAAGAGGAGGUCAACGAAGGUUCUCCUAAAUUUUCCAUAGGACCGCUUCAGUUUUGUAAACGUACAAGAACUAGAGUCAACGAUAUUGAGAUUUCUCAACGGAUUAACGUGACAACUCAAUAACGUGGAAGCAAUGGAGAGAUAGGUACCUAGGUAGGUCUCCGAAGGACUCAGCUAACCGUCCGAGACCGUAGACGUUUGUAACGCGAAGUGGCCCCUUACAAGGGAACUCUUCGAAGGACGAUCGUAAUAAUACAACCAGUUAAACGCCGUGGA